CGGACGGGUGAGUAAUGCUUGGGAAUCUAGCUUAUGGAGGGGGGUAACUACGGGAAACUGUAGCUAAUACCGCGUAAUAUCGAAAGAUUAAAGUGUGGGACCUUCGGGCCACAUGCCAUAGGAUGAGCCCAAGUGGGAUUAGGUAGUUGGUGAGGUAAAGGCUCACCAAGCCGACGACCUCUAGCUGGUCUGAGAGGAUGACCAGCCACACUGGGACUGAGACACGGCCCAG
rnacentral:rRNA from 1 species